rnacentral:misc_RNA from 1 species
GAAAUGCGAUAAUUAAUGUGAAUUGCAGAAUUCAGUGAAUCAUCGAGUCUUUGAACGCACAUUGCGCCCCCUGGUAUUCCGUGGGGCAUGCCUGUCCGAGCGUCAUUGCUGCCCUCAAGCACGGCUUGUGUGUUGGGCUUCCGUCCCUGGCAACGGGGACGGGCCCAAAAGGCAGUGGCGGCACCAUGUCUGGUCCUCGAGCGUAUGGGGCUUUGUCACCCGCUCCCGUAGGUCCAGCUGGCAGCUAGCCUCGCAACCAAUCUUUUUAACCAGGUUGACCUCGGAUCAGGUAGGGAUACCCGCUGAACUUAAGC